rnacentral:rRNA from 1 species
UACGUAGGGUGCGAGCGUUGUCCGGAAUUACUGGGCGUAAAGCGCGUGUAGGCGGCGGGGCAUGUCGGAUGUGAAAUCCCGUGGCUCAACCACGGAAGUGCACCCGAAACUGCCCAGCUUGAGUCUCGGAGAGGAAGGCGGAAUGCUUGGUGUAGAGGUGAAAUUCGUAGAUAUCAAGCGGAACACCGGUGGCGAAGGCGGCCCUCUGGACGAUGACUGACGCUGAGACGCGAAAGCGUGGGGAGCAAACAGG